rnacentral:lncRNA from 1 species
UAUUUGGAAUCUGGGGUGGGCCCUGAGAAUUUUCACUUUAACAAGUUCCUAGAUGAUCUUGCUGCUGCUGCUCCAGGGAGCAUGCACAGAGCACCAUUUACUACCCCAAAGGGCUCCCUCAGCAUUUGCCAAACAUUCCCUCUGGUCUGAGCUAAUGUUCCUGUUGCAUAGAUCCAGUUUCCUACCUAGCUAUUAGUCCCUUGAGUCCAAGAGAUAUUUCUUCUUACUCUUUGUACCUUCCCAUAGCGAUUAGAAAAGCAUGCCAGUCAAUAGUAAGUGUAGAGGAAGUUUGUUUAACUUGACUGGUUGAUUAGUGGGUUGAUUUACUGCCAGCUCAGUGGCUGUUUCUCUCCCAUUACUUCCACCUCCCAUGAGGACUGCACCUGCGGCAGCGAUUUUAUGUGAACUUGGAUUACUGUAUGGAAAUGGAGGAGUGAGAAAGUGUGGGAAUCAUAAAAGAAGGCAGAACCAAAAGACAGAGGGAUCUUGGGCCAUGAGUCACAGCAAGGAAAGCCUCCCACCAAACAUCUGCACUGGACUCCUACAGGAACAAGAAAUGAACUAUCGUGUUCAGCCCCUGAGACUUGGGCUUAACAUGAUUUUCACAUUGUCUACCCUACCUAAUAGAGCAGAGAUGUAAAUAUUAUUCUUAUUUUAGAGGUGUGAUGCCUCAGCUGCAAUGGGUGAGAACUACUCCUCAUUUAUUCUCUUCCAAGGCAAUAAAAGAGAAUGGACCAAAGACAGUCUGUCAUCACAUCUAGUCAAAAGAGCUAAUGUCGCAGUACAACUCUUCAAAAGAAAAAGAAAAAACAAGAAAAAAGUAAUAAACAGAUGUGUUCUGCUUGA